GACGUAGGAGGCGAGCGUUAUCCGGAUUCACUGGGCGUAAAGCGCAUGUAGGCGGUUGGACAAGUCGUGUGUUAAAGCCCCUGGCUCAACUGGGGGAGGUCAUGCGAGACUGUGCGACUUGAGGGCAAGAGAGGCACGUGGAACUCCAGGUGUAGCGGUGAAAUGCGUAGAUAUCUGGAGGAAUACCGGUGGCGAAGGCGGCAUCCUGGACCGACAUUGACGCUGAGGAGCGAAAGCCAGGGGAGCAAACGGG
rnacentral:rRNA from 1 species